rnacentral:rRNA from 1 species
GACGAACGCUGGCGGCGUGCUUAACACAUGCAAGUCGAACGGUGAAGCGCCUUCCUUUUUGGUGGGUGUGGAUGAGUGGCGAACGGGUGAGUAACACGUGAGUAACCUGCCCCCUUCUUCUGGAUAACCGCAUGAAAGUGUGGCUAAUACGGGAUAUUCUGGGUCUGUCGCAUGAUGGGUCUGGGAAAGAUAUUGUUUCGGUGGGGGAUGGGCUCGCGGUCUAUCAGCUUGUUGGUGGGGUGAUGGCCUACCAAGGCGGUGACGGGUAGCCGGCCUGAGAGGGUGGACGGUCACACUGGGACUGAGACACGGCCCAGACUCCUACGGGAGGCAGCAGUGGGGAAUAUUGCACAAUGGGCGCAAGCCUGAUGCAGCGACGCCGCGUGAGGGAUGGAGGCCUGCGGGUUGUGAACCUCUUUCGCCAGUGAAGCAGGCCUGCCUCGUUUGUGGGUGGGUUGACGGUAGCUGGAGAAGAAGCGCCGGCUAACUACGUG